CAGCAGCCGCGGUAAUACGUAGGUCCCGAGCGUUGUCCGGAUUUAUUGGGCGUAAAGCGAGCGCAGGCGGUUAGAUAAGUCUGAAGCUAAAGGCUGUGGCUUAACCAUAGUACGCUUUGGAAACUGUUUAACUUGAGUGCAAGAGGGGAGAGUGGAAUUCCAUGUGUAGCGGUGAAAUGCGUAGAUAUAUGGAGGAACACCGGUGGCGAAAGCGGCUCUCUGGCUUGUAACUGACGCUGAGGCUCGAAAGCGUGGGGAGCAAACAGGAUUAGAUACCCCGGUAGUCCCUGUCUCUUAUACC
rnacentral:rRNA from 1 species